rnacentral:rRNA from 1 species
GACGUAGGGCGCAAGCGUUGUCCGGAUUUAUUGGGCGUAAAGAGCUCGUAGGCGGCUUGUCGCGUCGACCGUGAAAACCCGCAGCUCAACUGCGGGCCUGCGGUCGAUACGGGCAGGCUCGAGUCCGGAAGAGGAGAGUGGAAUUCCCGGUGUAGCGGUGAAAUGCGCAGAUAUCGGGAAGAACACCCGUGGCGAAGGCGGCUCUCUGGGACGGUACUGACGCUGAGACGCGAAAGCGUGGGGAGCGAACAGG